rnacentral:rRNA from 1 species
AUGCGCAAUCUGCAUAAGUCUGUUUGUCCCAACCUUGGUGAAGAUUUUGAAACUGACAUUAAGCAAACAUAUAUGCCUGAACUGCUCAAUGCGAAUAGCCUCUGUCUUCUUAGGAAGAAGAUUUAUCGUUCCAAAAUUGAGCUUGAACAAAUGAAGCUGACCAUUGAAAAACUCAUGAAACAUCGGCAUCAGGUCUCCCUUAAUGAAGUGCCGGCACUUUUUGUAAAACUCCGCCGGGAACCCAUCCGGUCAUGGCGCUUUAUUGUUUUUCAUUUGUGCAAUGGCCUCAAACACCUCCUUUUGAAGAGUGGUAGUCGGAACUGUAGCAGUAGACCCAACAGGGGCAAAGUCACCAGAAUCAGACGGGCCCGAAGGCCCCUUGGCAUUGUCAUCAUCACUCUUAGCAUUAUCAUCCUGGUUCCCCGAAGCACCUCCUCCCUCAAAAUUGUCCAUGGGAUUAUCAUCCUCAAACUCACGGAAAAGAUUAGGAUCCUCAUACUCAACAGAAAGCAUGAUAGCUCACACAAAAUUCGACUUGUUUCCUUGGUUGCAACCUCAGUACAAGCACGAGCAUAA